GUUAUAUAGUAUGCCUCUCAUAUUCACAUAUUGCACAAUCGUAGCUGAGGCUACAUGAGUGAAAUUAUGAUCGAUGUAUGACUCAUCCAAAAGUAACGGGAAUGCGCAGGAGAAGAGUGUAGCCAAAUAAAUGAAUGCGAUGUGAGGCAACAAACACAAUCAGUUCUAAAUAACCUUUGCCUGACCGGACUUGCAAGUGGUGGGGGUAGUGCGUGCACCUUGAAGAAAGUGUAUUACCGACUGGAGUUCGCUGGAAGUCUGCUACACCGGAUAGGUAGGACGACACACCCCACUCCCACGCGUCUUCACUGUAUUUAAAGGCUUGCCUUUCUUACAAGGCGGCAGGUUCAGACCCUUUCGAUCGGGUAAGUAUAACAACAGUGAGGCGAAAAACUGCUGCAGUGUAUCGACUAUUGCUAUCAUCUACUUCGGACGAACCAUGAAUGCCAUUUUCACCGUAUCUCUGCUCAUUAUCGCCAUAGCGGCCAUGGGAACAGAAUCCGCUACCAUACCUGGACUCCGUUGCAAGUGUAUUAAAAAUGCGCCGAGUAAUGAAAUCAUUCCGGAGAAAUAUGUGAAAAAGAUUGAUCGUUUCCCAGCCAGUCCCCUCUGCAAUAAAGAAGAAGCCAUUAUUCAUGGCAUAAAAGGAAAACAAAGAUGUGUGGAUCCUACUGCGAAAUGGGUGAAAAACCUGGAGAAAGCUAUCCAGCUGAAAGCAGCUGCAGCCGUCAACAGAAGCAACACCCUCUUCACCCCUGAGACCACAACCGCCCACAACUGAUGCCCACCACGAGGAGGAGUAAUGCCACCAUCACCCCUGAGACCACAACUGCCCACAACUGAUGCCCACCAUCACCCCUGAGACCACAACCGCAGACAACUGAUGCCCAUCACGAGGUGGAGUAAGACAGGGUGUCAAGGACCCACGCUGUGCUCCAAGUCUGACUCUUGACACAGGGGACUCUGAUGCCCACCAGCUGCACUGGUUGCCGUAGUGAUGAGAGAAUGGAGAAUGAAGAGAGAGAGGGCAGGAUGAAGAGGAAGUACAGGCAUUUCUGAAGGCAGAUUUUAAAUGUUGCUGAUAAAGGAACUUAAAAUGUGUAGGUUUUUUUGGGGGUCUUUAUCUACCUCUGUAUACCAAUUUCAAUUUCAUAUGUAAACGUUUUAUCAGAAAUGUCAUUUUGAAUUUGAUUUGGCAAAGAGAGCUUUAAAUAAGCAAUAAACGUUUCAUGGAAUACGAUUUCUAUACUAUA
rnacentral:lncRNA from 1 species